rnacentral:tmRNA from 1 species
GGGGAUGAUCGGUUUCGACGGUGUAAGUCGCGACAGAUGAAGCGGGCCGAGGACGCAAAGUUAUCUCGUAAACGCUCUUUGCAAAACAAUAAGUGCCGAAUCUAAGCGCACUGACUUCGCUCUCGCUGCCUAAGCAGCCAGACAGUCCGUUAGCCAGGGGAUGCUAUCGCCCCUGAUCCUAGCGUCAUUUAGAUAGCCACUGUAUCCGGCAGUUGUUGCCGCUGUUGGGUACAUAUCUAGGCAACUGUGCCCGGACCAGCCACUUGUUUGCGUGAUGGCUGGGGCAGAGAAAUUCCGCAGCAAACUGCGCCCGGAGAAGACCUGGCAACACUACAUCGGACGGGAGUUCAAUUCUCCCCAUCUCCACCA